UUUCCUGUUUUGUUCUCGGCCCUUUUGAAAGGAGAGACUCCCACCUUUCCACCCCUCACCUACAGGCCCCCCCCCACAAUCAGACACACAGAGCCUUCAGUUCAUAAGAAAGGGAUGGAAAGUCUGCAGAGGAAAGCUGAAAAGCCUUUCAAGUCUCAAUCAGUAAGAAGUUUUCCAUUUUAAACGGUUUCUCUGCGAGUUUGUCGGUGACAAAAGGCUCCGUAACAUCUGAACUACCGGCUCCAAGACACGCCGCUGGGCUUCCUGCUGUGGGCUCCGGACCUUCCUCAGUGGUGCUGACGCUACUGAAGACAGAAGACUGCUCCGGCCUCCUGGAAAAUGUGACGCCAAUUCAGGAAUGCUGCUCGCUGCGAAUGCGAACCCCCGCACAAGCCCUGCAGGAAGUCGUAGUAAAAAAGAAAAAGUGAUGUGAUGGAAGCCGAUUGCUUUCUCGGGAGUUACAUGCUGUGGCCGAGCUCCGGCUCACAAACUGCAGAGGUGCAUGUAGACGACACACGCCGUGAUUACAGAAGCAAAAAGGAACCGGUUCUUUUGAAGGAUGUACUUGUCAUAAACAAGCCUGCGGUCCGCACCGACUUGCGUUGGAAGGCCUUGCCGUCAUCUGCCGCUUCAGAUUAAUCUUUUGGAAUACAGAUACGGCCUCUGGCACACAAAGACUUUUCUCGCUGCAUAAAAACAUCACAACUGGGGGCGAAAGACACAGCGGGUAUAUCUGGAAAUUGCUGGAACGUGAAUAUAAACAUCAAUUAACACACCGUUACAGCAGAGUUUGGGAUUUGUGGUCUGAAUGCUAAAAUUGUGGAGACAUGCAGUGAAAAUCCCUCUGAAUUGAAAUAUGAUUAACAUUUAGCUGUGAACACUUAAGGAAAUGUAAUUGUUCCUCGGAUAAUGCUUGCAGACCAAUUUCUACCCAGUAAGUAGCAAUGUCCCAGAUGUGCCCUCUCUUUAUCCAGAUGUCUGUUAUCACAUUAUUUACUGUAAUCUUCAGUUAUAAUUAAUAGCAAUUAAUGUCAGCAAAUUAUUUGACCUACACGGUCACUUCUCUUUGUCAUCAUGCUGCUAAAGUGCAGUUUUCUCCAGUGCGAUCAACAUAUUGUUCCCUGACUUAUUGAGUACAAACUUUCACGGCUUUUAGAGAAAUCCAUAAACCUUUGACUGUCUCUGUGAGUGUUCAAAUAGGAUGGACCCUUCGGUAAGGCCGUUGGUGCCGCCGGGCCUCCCAGGACAUUUUGUCUGUUCCGUCCACAUUUGUUUUUGUCUUAACGAUUUGAACACACGUAUCCGCAUUUCCCUCAGACAUAUUUGGUUCGAAUGACCUGAAUAGGUGACAUUACGCAGCAAAGUGAUGGCAACUUUAGUGUAACUACUUCUUGAACAGAUUCCAGAGGAGAUUUUUGUCCUGAAAAAUGCCAGCCGGCGUGACCCAGCACGUUAACUCGGCACAUCUUUAUUUCAGUGUUCUAUUAAAGGUUACGGAGACGUGGAAUAAAAGCACAAUGUGACUGAC